rnacentral:rRNA from 1 species
AUUGAACGCUGGCGGCAUGCUUUACACAUGCAAGUCGAACGGUAACAGGCCGCAAGGUGCUGACGAGUGGCGAACGGGUGAGUAAUGCAUCGGAACGUGCCCAGUCGUGGGGGAUAACGCAGCGAAAGCUGCGCUAAUACCGCAUACGAUCUCUGGAUGAAAGCGGGGGACCGAAAGGCCUCGCGCGAUUGGAGCGGCCGAUGUCAGAUUAGGUAGUUGGUGAGGUAAAGGCCCACCAAGCCAACGAUCUGUAGCUGGUCUGAGAGGACGACCAGCCACACUGGGACUGAGACACGGCCCAGACUCCUACGGGAGGCAGCAGUGGGGAAUUUUGGACAAUGGGCGCAAGCCUGAUCCAGCAAUGCCGCGUGCAGGAAGAAGGCCUUCGGGUUGUAAACUGCUUUUGUACGGAACGAAACGGUCUGGGUUAAUACCCUGGGCUAAUGACGGUACCGUAAGAAUAAGCACCGGCUAACUACGUGCCAGCAGCCGCCGCAG